UACAGAGGGUGCGAGCGUUGUCCGGAAUUACUGGGCGUAAAGGGCGCGUAGGCGGCCCGAUAAGUAGGACGUGAAAUCUCGCGGCUCAACCGCGGAACUGCGUUCUAGACUGUCGGGCUUGAGCACGGUAGAGGCAGAUGGAAUUCCCGGUGUAGCGGUGGAAUGCGUAGAGAUCGGGAAGAACAUCGGUGGCGAAAGCGCUCUACUGGACGGUAUCUGACACUGAGGGACGAAAGCUAGGGGAGCGAAUGGG
rnacentral:rRNA from 1 species